GACGAACGCUGGCGGCGUGCUUAACACAUGCAAGUCGAACGGAAAGGCCCUGCUUUUGUGGGGUGCUCGAGUGGCGAACGGGUGAGUAACACGUGAGUAACCUGCCCUUGACUUUGGGAUAACUUCAGGAAACUGGGGCUAAUACCGGAUAGGAGCUCCUGCUGCAUGGUGGGGGUUGGAAAGUUUCGGCGGUUGGGGAUGGACUCGCGGCUUAUCAGCUUGUUGGUGGGGUAGUGGCUUACCAAGGCUUUGACGGGUAGCCGGCCUGAGAGGGUGACCGGCCACAUUGGGACUGAGAUACGGCCCAGACUCCUACGGGAGGAAGCAGUGGGGAAUAUUGCACAAUGGGCGGAAGCCUGAUGCAGCAACGCCGCGUGCGGGAUGACGGCCUUCGGUUUGUAAACCGCUUUCGCCUGUGACGAAGCGUGAGUGACGGUAAUGGGUAAAGAAGCACCGGCUAACUACGUG
rnacentral:rRNA from 1 species